GCNNANGGGCGGGUGCUAUACAUGCAGUCGAGCGGACAGAUGGGAGCUUGCUCCCUGAAGUCAGCGGCGGACGGGUGAGUAACACGUGGGCAACCUGCCUGUAAGACUGGGAUAACUCCGGGAAACCGGGGCUAAUACCGGAUAAUUCUUUCCCUCACAUGAGGGAAAGCUGAAAGAUGGUUUCGGCUAUCACUUACAGAUGGGCCCGCGGCGCAUUAGCUAGUUGGUGAGGUAACGGCUCACCAAGGCAACGAUGCGUAGCCGACCUGAGAGGGUGAUCGGCCACACUGGGACUGAGACACGGCCCAGACUCCUACGGGAGGCAGCAGUAGGGAAUCUUCCGCAAUGGACGAAAGUCUGACGGAGCAACGCCGCGUGAGUGAUGAAGGUUUUCGGAUCGUAAAACUCUGUUGUUAGGGAAGAACAAGUACCGGAGUAACUGCCGGUACCUUGACGGUACCUAACCAGAAAGCCACGGCUAACUACGUGCCAGCAGCCGCGGUAAUACGUAGGUGGCAAGCGUUGUCCGGAAUUAUUGGGCGUAAAGCGCGCGCAGGCGGUUCCUUAAGUCUGAUGUGAAAGCCCCCGGCUCAACCGGGGAGGGUCAUUGGAAACUGGGGAACUUUAGUGCACAAUAAAAAGUGGAAAUCCUCGUGAAGCCGUGAAAGGUUUGAUAA
rnacentral:rRNA from 1 species